UUAUCUAGAAGAAAAACUUCUUGCUCAAUGCUUCAGUAGCGUGUAAUGUAUCCUAAUGCUCCUAUGGAUGGACUUAUGUGUUAUACCUUGCUAUUGCCGCUCAAUGCAUUUAGAUACAGUAAGUUCCAAUAUCCUCCACAAUGUCAGUUUUAUAUCUCCAAGUAUUUUGUUUAGUGCAUUUUGACUUUUCCUUAACUUUCGAUGCUAUAGGUAUGUUGAUAAACUGACUUAUCCUUCUCUCUAGCUAUCUCAUAUGAUCUUGGACAUUCCUACACAUCUUUCAAUUAAGAUUACGUGCAGGAGUACAACCACACGUAUGGGUUGUAUUCUGGCUUCAACAGUCACAUAGACAAAACUAAGCAUGUGGUUUCUACAUCUUUCUGCACUUCAUUUUUCUUUCCGUUACUCCAUAACAUAACAAUGCCAUGGAACUACUUUCUCCAAACUGACUCUGGACAUUACACGGUCCUUCUACUGGCAUAUGUAUAUAUGUAGCCUUAUAUCUUUUUAAUGUAUCUAUUCCGAAAAGAUGCAGCCACUAUAGAAUCCAGUUAUUUUUUA